UAUUUAUUUUUACCAUUUCGUAGAAUUCAUUUUCCUCAUACUAAACAAGGACUUAGUAUUAUUUGUUCCACAUGUAAUGUGACUUGAAAGCAUUUACUUGUCCCCUUUUAGCUCGAAGAUGGUACAUUCACAGCCCUCAGCAAGGAAGUAGCACAAAGGACACUUGAAUUAAGGCAUAUGAGAGGAGAAGAACUCCAGCGAUUGAGCAUUGAGCAACUACAAGAAUUAGAGAAGUCACUUGAAAGAGGCUUGAAACGAGUUCUGGAAACUAAGAGUCAUGUAAUUACAAAUGAGAUCAAUGCCCUCAAAAGCAAGGAAGCUCAACUAAUAGAGGAGAAUGAGCGACUAAAGCAACAAAUAAUGAAUGUACCGUACCAAUGGUCAGACUGCAUUUA